GAUAAUACGGAUUAACCACCCUUUCAUGCCACAAUAAGUGGGAUCCUACGUGUUCGACAGUUACACCCAAAUUAUCUAUAAAGAGAGGGUAAGGGAACAGCAUUGGGAAGGGACAUCAGGGCUAAAACUCUGCCAAAUUCUAUACUAAAUAUCUUGUUAUCACUCCCUGCUAACUUACGCAUCGGAGGAUCCUCGUCAGAUACAAUUUCGGCCAAUGAACUUAUUUUGCAGGUUGCUCUUCACUGGAGUCAGGCACACUUGGGGAUUGACCACAACAGAUUGACGCGUCAGAAAGGAGGUGAAAGAAUCCAGUCAUGGCAAAAACAAUAGCCCAGAACAGCUACACCAGCUUCGCUAGACAGUCUUCUUGUCGGAAAGAUCCCCUGCCUCCAUCUCUACUAGUAGAGCUCAGUUCCUCACGUUCAAUCGCCACUGCGGAUGCACAACAAUUCACUGCGCUAGUGCAACAAGUGAAAAUAUUAAUGAAGACAGUGCACAGCCUCCAGCAACAACAAAUGCAACAGCCAUAGCAACCAAUGGUGGAGCCAACAUCGUGCGCAGUGCCAUCCAGGCACAGUAACUACGUCCCUCGACGAUCUCCUUCUCUAUUUUCGAAAUGACGACCGACUCGAUAUUCCCACCAUGUCAAGCCACC
rnacentral:lncRNA from 1 species